GAAAAAUAAAUAGUACUGAAUGUUUGGUGUCGACUUGAGUUGAAGAGGAAGUCUGGAGGAAGAGCACCCUUAAUAUUAUGAUGUUAUAGGAAAGCAGAUAAGGGAAAGUUAAAGUUGCACAUGUACUGCUUUCAGUCUGAAUGCCAAUGUGUCGAUUUCACUGGAUAUAAUAAACAUAGAAUGAAGUCCUUACAACACAGAAGAUAACCUUUCAGCCUGGUGUCAGCAGUAGGUCUGGUUCAUAUGGAUGUUACCACCCAUGGUCUCUGCUUUCUGAGGAGGAAGAUCCCAUGCCUCAUCACCCCCCAUUUAUUGUGGAACUUGCUAUGUUUGAUAAUGAAGGAGGUUCACACAUUUGGAGCAGCUCCUGCACAUCUCUACACAUCUCACCAAGCUCUCCUGAGUGCAGAGGAGCAGGCAACUCCUCCUUCAUCACCCCUUGAAGUACACUGGGGUACUUCAGCAGCGCUGACUUUCACCCCACUUCGAAGGCAGUUCUGUGCCCAGCUCAGCUGCCGCAGCCUGAACUUUCAGUGCUGGUACCAGAGGAUGCUGAACGUGGUGUUGCAUGAUCUGGAGCUCACAUGGGCCACGUGGGGCUCAGCCAGUUGCAGAAGCUCAGCAAGCCCCAGUCCUACGGCUGACUUACCAUACAGUGGAGACUUCAGCCUCUCUGGGCAUUGCAGCAUGCUUUAAUACCAACCUACAUGCAAACGGAGUUUUCGGAGUGCAAACAUGAUUUAUAACCUGCUUAGUCCCAUCUUUGCAUGAGGAAUAGGAAUGAAGGCAGGCUUUAAGCAUUCUGACCUGGGCAUGAAUUCCUGAUCUAAGACCAACUUCUCCUCUGUUUCUCAUGUAAUUAGUCUCACCGAGAUGUGCUGGAACAUUUGAGAAGUCUUUGAGUGGAUAAUAGCUUGCAUAUUCCUUUUGCCCACAGCAUGAGCAGAAAAAUCUUCAUGCUGGCAUUCCUGGAAAUGUUAUCUGAAUAAUUCUUUUAUUCAUGUUUGGACACAAAUGAUAUUUUGAAGGUUAGCACGUGUGAGGCUAUUGCUAGUUGCUUUAUUUAGAGGAUAUACACAAAUAAGGACUCUGUAACUAAAGACAGGAUAUCUAGAGCCAAAUGCAUCUAUGGGAACUCCAGCAGCACAUUUUUGCUGGGUCCUUGAACCACUGUGGUGUUGCAGCUUUUAUCUUCUCUCAGUGACAUUACUCUGGAUUUGCAGGGACUUGGAAAAUUUCCCUUCAGGCUUGAUUUGGGGAGCCCUCUGAUUAUAGAAUUGAUUUCUGUUUUUUCAGAAUUCUUGCUGAUCAUCCCAAUAGUUGAACUGGUGGAGAACACAAAACUCAAAGCUACAUAAAGCUAAGAAAGCCAUAUUUAUUUACAUGCUUCAAACAUAAAACUGGGAAUACUGUUUUGAUCAAUGAUUCUGUGUGAAUUUCAUUAGACAUGGAAACCAAUGAGUUUUCUUAGCAGUAUCUGCAAUACAGAUGCGAUCCACUGGGAACUGUGAAAACGUAGCUCAUUUUUUCAUAGGGUACUCAACACCCAUGUGAACAGUAGUAUCUUUCAGGAUCAGUACUGGCCCCAAAUGACAAGGUCAUGAUGAAAGGUGCCAUCUCCUCUUCGUCCUGCCUUUGCAACAUGAGGAGGAAUGAAGGAGCAAAUAUUGCAAUCUCUGAAUUUGACAUAUCCCAGAAAUGUCCUGUCUUCCCCUUAUGGAGGGCUGUAAAUAAAACACAACUUACUUACUAAGACA
rnacentral:lncRNA from 1 species